rnacentral:lncRNA from 1 species
GAAGCUGGCACUACCACUCAAGUGCCUAGGAGCACUGACAGACAUGCCUUUUUAAGAGAAAUGAACACAUGUUGGUGAUCAGGCAUCGAGCCUUAAGGAUAUUAAAUCAGGACUUGGAAAGCAGAGUGUAUGAAGAUUUAAUGAUAGAAGUUAAAAAGCUGUAAACUGUGGUUAAUGAGAAAUGCCGAGGUAAGAAUAUCAACCAAGUAAUGGAGAAAUAAAAUCUGAAAGAAAUGUCUCACAGGCUAAGGAACUCAUUCAGCAAGAGAUGAUGGACUGAACUGAAGAUGUGAAUGGAAUCCUCUAGUGACAGAGUCUGGGAAGAAGAUAUUCAUGGGCAACUACAUGAUUCGAAUAGAUAAAUUCAAUUAGCUCUUCUUGGGAAGCCUCAGUUUACUUUAUCACUCGGUAUUUCAAAGAGUUUUAAAGAAAUUCUAAUUACUGCAUAAGAAAUAAGUCAAAUUCCUCUUCUCUCACUGUCAAGGGCUUUUAUUACCCACUGCUAUAAAACAUAUAUGUUUUUUUUUUUUUCUGUUGCUAUCCUAGCAGAGUAGCCUGCAUACCAAUAGGAUCACUAAAAUGCCACGAAGCAGAACAUAUUUAUCUGUUAAAUUCUAUGUACAGUAACCUAACAAAUGCCAAAGACAGAAAGAUUGCCCUCUGCACAGUAAUACUCGUGUAGAUGUCUUCUUUAUGCUAACAAUGACAGGGCUUCAUGCCUUGUACUGUACUCAAAAAUCAGAGUGCAUUUUUUAAAAUAGAAGACUCUGUAUCAAAAAGAAAAAGAACUGCACAUUUUUGUCACGGAGAUAUUUUAUGUGGAUAAUAAAUUUUUUUCCCUCGAACUCUACUAACUACAAGUAUCUACCUAGAAGAUGAAAUGUAAGAUUUAUGUCAUCAGAACUAUUCAGUAUACCAGAGGAUUAUUUUUUCUUCUUUUCAGGACUGUCAACUUUGUUUACUGUUUAUGUUCAAUUUCAUCCUAUACGAGAGAUUAAAUAGUCUUGUCAUAGCCAAAUGUCAAACCUUGUCAGAAAAAUAAGAUAACAAAUAUAAAAUAAUAUUAAUAAGGAGUGCUUUCAAAGAGAUAUUAGAUUUCUUUAAAUCUAAAUUAUAACUGGAAUUUUAUAAUUAUAAUUAUAUUUGUACUAACCAAAAAGAGAUUUUUGCACCUAUAAUUAUAUGACGUUUCGUUUAUUUUAAAAUGGAAAUGACUAAGAGAUAAUUAAAACAUUAUUACAAGUAACUUCAAGGAAACACUUGAAAUAAUGUAAGUCCAGAAUCAGCAUGUAUAUCAUCAGAUCUUGUUAGCCUCUUACAUGCAUUUUUAAUACAAAUGUAAUCAUUUGGCUAUUGAAAUCAUUCUUUAAAAAAAUGAUAUCAAAUGGUGUUAUAUAAACAUAAGCUUUUUUUUACCCUUGCUACAUUAAACUUUUUAUAAUGCAAAUUCAAUCUCAAAACAAUAAAUAAUAACAUGUAUAAUGACAAUAACUGAAUCCUAACUAAUUGUAGUACUUCUGCAUAGCCUAGUAACAAUUUAUGAAUUGUGAAUAAUAAAUCUAUUUGACAGGCCUGUUAGCAAUAAGGCCUUCAGCUUCUUGCUUUGCAGCAGAAUGAAGUAAAAUCUAUCUUUUCUUGCUGUUGUUAAAAACAUUUGAACAGUUCUUUUUCACAGAAAAUGCUGCAGGAAGGUUCCAGGUUAAAAUAACAAAAAUUAGCAUAGUUGUUUUGUACACUUGACUAUUAUUGGCCAGGAUACAUGAUAAGUUAAAACAUACUGAGAGAUUAUUUUUUUAAGAGGGAAAACUUGAUAGAGGUUUGUAUUUCUAGAUUAGAGAGUGGACACUAUAAUCUUUCUGGUAUUGUAAAACUGAAGCUGGCUGCAGGAAAAAUAAACAUUACAAUUACCCGGCACUUAAACAAUUGUACCUAUACAGUUAAGUAACAAAAGCAUGAUGCACCUGGAAUCACAGCAUUUGUGCCUAAUGCCAGCAACAAUAUAAAGCAUUCAAGUGACAUUUGAUAAUGAGCAGACAGUGGAGGCAUUACACAGGUCUUUAGAAGAAUCAGACUUCCUACCUUGAAAAGACAGAUGGAGGUAAGUUCCUUUAUAAAAAAAAAAAAAAAAAGUUGUAAGUAAAGCCAGGCAGCAGUUGCAGUAAAUUGAGUCCUUUCAGUCACUGUAUACAUACAGCAGUUCUGCAAUAAGGGGAAAAAUAUAAUGGGAGGAGCGGCUGUGAACGAGUGACCUCCUCAAGCUGAGUCCUCUCUGUGAACCAGGCAUUGAAAGCCACUGCUCCUGAUUUGCAUGGAUUAUCUCCACUUGAACAGAUACAGAGCAGAUACAUUUAAAUUGAGCUGGCACAAUGGCAAAAAGAUGGAAGAGUGAAUGAAUGAGGGGCAGCGCAAGAGAGGGAGAGAGAAAGAGAAACAGACACGAGAUCGGAGAGCGUGGAUAAGCUGGUUCUUGCAGAACUGUGUCUCAGAAGAGCUACAGCUCCCUCUUCAUGUCACAGUUGUAAGAUAAGAAAUGUUGUCAUUAAGAACUGGUUAAUCAUAGGGAAAAAUUUACUCAGAUUAGCUGAUGCUCCAUCUGAGCCAUCAGAUUUUUAUGAACAUUUUAUGACUUUCUCUUUUAUCAGGAUUUUAGAUACCAAAAAAUCUUUUGUUUAGUAGAGAGGUAAACAGAUUUGGAUAAAACUCUGAGUUUUGAAUCAGAUCAGAGCUCUGACUUGAUUGGAAUAUAUUGGAAUAUAUGUCAGUAAGUGAAUCUAGAUAAUUUGUCAAGCAGAAUAUUUAUUUUGAAAAAAUUAAUCCCUAUUUUAAAGGGUAGUGGUAUAUAUAGCAAUAUAAAAAGAAUUUCAAUGUUUAUUAAUGAUCAAGGAUCUGAAAGGAUCCAAAUAUACAACUGAAAAAGAGGAUUUUUAAAUUUCUUUAAGUUGUUAAUUGUUUUUUUUUUCCUUCAUAUUAUCUCUUUCCGGCUUGCAGAAUAGAACUUUCUAUACAAUACAGAUGUAUCUUAAAGCAUACGAUUAUUUGCUUUUCCAUUUACCAUCUUCAGAGCUUUAAAUAUUCGUAUUCUCAUUUGACAUGAGAAAAGGAGAAGGGGAUAUGGUUGUAACUCCUGCCAACAGUCACUCAAUAAGUCCGUGGCAGAUCUCAGAAGAAAAGAAUAACCCUCAUUUAGCAAGUUAAUGUGAAGCUUGCCUUCUCUUUGUGUAAAGGUGUCUGUGGAUACCCAAACAGCCAGGCAAUUAGGUCAAAUUCAAAGGAAAAAAAUCAGUCAAACCAGCUGGUUGACUGAAUUGAUCACAGCCUUGGGGAAGCUCGUAUUAACUGGGUGUGAAUGAAAUGACAUCGAUUAAAUCUAUUUCAACAAAUGACAUUAAAACUCUCAACAGAAACAUGCGAGUGAUAUUUUCAGAAAGUAGUGAGACAAGUUAGAUUUUUACUGCUGUGGGAAUCUGCAUUUUUUUUUUUUUUUUCUGUCAGGGAAAAUAAAGAAUUUAAACACACAGUACUUCAAAGAACAUUGACUUGAUGGACAGAAGUGAUACCUUAAAAGAAAUCCCCAGAAAUAUGCCAACAUAUAUUUCCAUGAGGUUUAGUGAAGGUUUGGAAUUUCAGAAAUGUGCAGACUUAGUGACCAUAACUAUAUUUAGGAAACAAUUGCUUGAAAAUAGAAGGGUGAAGACGAUAGUUAUUUUAUGAUUCUGACAUCCAAUAGUCUGACUGCUCACUAAGUGGAUGGGUUAGUUCUCAGGUUUUUGAUAUCAGCUUGAACACAGCUAGUACACAGGUCAGAAAUGGAAUGUUAUUGCGGUCUUCAUGGUACUUUUCAGGUUGUAAACUCUUUAGAGUCAGGGACCACAGAAUAGCCUUUAAACAAUUUCUCCAAAUAUUAUGAAAGUGUCCUUUACAUAUUUCAGAUGUUUCAUAAAUAUUUUUAGAAAAGAUAUUUACAAUAAUGACAUAGCAUUUAUAUUCACUUUACCAGUUGCUUAAUGUAAAAAUUGGAUUCAGAAAUUAAGAAUGUAUUUCUUAUGUACCCAUAAGAAAUAAAUAUCAUUUAAAUGUCUUGCCAUACAUAGGACUGCAAUAACAACAGCAGCAGUGCUGGAUUGUAUAUUGACAUGAAAGCUUAAUUGGGAACCUCCUUCAUUAUACAAGGGGGUACCUUCGAGAAAGUAGGAAGGUAUGGUUAGGAUUUGAAUAACAACUUUCUGAGCAUCAAUGUUGACUCAACUCAGACAAUUAUCAGCUUUGUGACUAUGGCGAAUUACUUGUUUGUAAAAUGGUGAUAAUAAACUGACCUUUAUUAUAUGGUUGGCCUAAGGAAUAAAGAAAAGGGCUUAGCAUAGCACCUGGAUAAAUAAUCAGUGUAUCUUAUUGUUACAGUUAUUGUAAAUAUGUCUUCCAUUGAACCUGAUUGCCUCUCUCUGAACUGGGAAGUGUUACUACCACUGUCUAUUAGAUGUAGAAAAUAGAUGACUCUUUGUCUGUUCUUGGGUUUUUUGGUCAUUAUAUGAGGAGGACUUCUUCCUGGUCCCUGACAACCAGAAGGGCUGGGGCCUCUACCUUUUUACAAAAGACAGAAAUAGAAAAACUAUUCUCAGGAGAGCUAGAGAGUGUUGCAGCAGCAGAUCCAACCUUCUGUACAGGAAUAGGAAAUGGCUUGUGUGGUACAAUGUGAAGGGCACCCAGAAGCUCCCAGUCCAGAAAUAUCUUCCCAUCUGUCCUCUCCUAUUUCCUGAAAUGCCACCAUUAGGGUUCAUUUCUAUGUUUCACUGGCUUCCCAUUCUCUUUUUCAACACACACACUACUGGCAGAAUUAACACAUUAACAAGUUUACACUUCGAAAAACACAUGAAUUCAUAAUUGUUUUAAUGAUUCUCUCAAAGAUGCUUUCUUCUGGUAACUUGCUGAAGAUUAACAAGGCCAAGGAAAAGCCAGAUCUCAGUGAAGAUGCAGAGAAAGCCCGUUAUUAGGUCUACGGAAGUGUGUGGGGAUGAAGCCCCAGUAAGGACGGUUCUCUGCCUGUGUCUGUGUGCACCUGGAUCCGCUGUGAUGUGAGAGACCCUGCAGCAGGUGCUCAGAGAGUAACCUGGAGGUACUCACCCCCGAGACACUGGGAUGAAGAGCAAGGACACAUUCUUUCAUUCAACACAGUUGACUGAGUGUUUUGUUAGCAAAAACCGGACUAUGUAUAUGAAAAUAGAUGGCCCUUACUCUCUUUUCUAGUGGAGAUGAUGGAAAACAGAUACGUGAACAGGUUGAUCCUAAUACUGGAUAUCUAUACAAAAGAAAAGAACCCAGAGGAAAAGCAGAGUUGGAGUAAUUAAGAAAGCCUUUAUGAAUGGGGCAAUGCUUAACAGGACUCUUGAAGGCACAGUGGGAGCUGCUGGGGCAAGCAAGAGAUGCAGGAAAAGGGGCUGCAGGCAUGUUCUAGGUCAAGUGAACAUGGAACAGAGUGGGGCAACAUGCAAGAGGCAACCACCCGGGACAAUCAAUCGAGUAUGCUCUGAGCACAGAGCAGAAGGAUGAGCGGGAAAUGGAGAGACAUGUGACUGAAAUGUGAGGAAAGAAUUGAAGAGCCCGUCACAGAAAGGAGACAUGGGCACAACCCCUGCAGAGACGUUAUACCUCUGGGCCUUAGCCUGAGACCUUCCUGUCACUCUGUACAUCUAGGGUAUGUGUUCAUCUGCCCACCCCCCAGCCCUGGGAACACACACUUAGGAAGAUGUUUAAAUGACAAGGAAAACUGCCCUCGGUGAGAAAAGGGGGAUGAAUUGCCAAUUAGAUUAGAGAUUUAAGUCCUAGGGAGUUGAAAUAUUCCAAAAUUGUUUGUGAGAAUCUGGCAUCCCAUUCCCCAACCUAAAGUGCUGUAUGGCAUAUUCAUAUAUGAAUUAAAAUUA